CUGAGGCGACCUGGAAGACUGCAGAGCGACUGUAUGGCAAUAAACAAGCCAAUGGGGACUGCAAAAGCUACGUGAAGCCUAUGCACGCGUGGCUGGGAGAACACUGAUGGAGUUCUAAUGGGCUGGAGGAUAUCUAGGCUGAUUCCGCUCACUUCUGAGUUAUAAAAAGAGCAGAAGAGACACGGAGACACACAUGAGGGAAGACACUGUAU